GUUCACAACUCAUUCCUGUAAGUACCAUGAGAUAAAAGUUUGAUCAUAAGUUAUCCAGUUCAUCUUAAGAUAGUUAUCAUUUUAAUCGAUUGUUUUGUCACCCACUUUCAUCCAAUUUUCAGUCCGGUUUCACUUAACUCUAAAUUUCUUCUUCCACCAAAGAUACUGACCCAACAACCCAUUGGAUUAACAAUUUUGGUUAAACCAUAGAUUGACUUCAAAGGUAUAACUGGUUGUGAUUAGUCAAGACCAAAACAAUUCAGACCAUCAAGUCAUACAAAGUAAUAUUAACCUUUGGAUUGAGUUAUCGGUGUUCAUUUCUUUUCGUGUCCUUUGAACAAUUUAACCAAAAUGAUUAACUUACAGUCAUUUCAAUCAUCAACCAAAUUAUUUCUUCAUUUACUCAUUAUAACGACAAUUUCACUGAUUGCAAUUGCAAUGGCAAAUCCAAGUUCCCAAUUUUUUCUCAAUGGUCGCUACGGAAGACGAUCACUUCCACCCGAUUCAUCCGAGUCUCAAUUUUCAGAUAAAGACAAUCUGGAAGCGUUCAAAUUGAAAGAUGAUCCAAACCCAAUUUGCUUUUAUAAAGGCUUGAUUGGAUUAUUCAAGUGUAUUGCUGAAAGAAACAACCCAAAAUGAUGCUGAUUUUUGGCUGUUUGCUGAUGGUAAUGAUGGCAAUGAUGGUAAUUGGAUGACAUUUAUCAAACCUGGACUUUUAUUUAUAUUUAAUUUCCAUGUUUUAAUUCAAUCUACCAAACCAUUGAUGUUGAUAUCAAUGAUACAAUUAAUGAAAGAACCAGAAAAAUGCAAGGAAACCCAAAACCCUUUAUGUCUUACAACUCAUUUCAGUUGAUUUACAAACGAUUGCAACUCAUCAUGUUUAACCCUUCAAUUUAUAUCUCAACCAACCAACUAAUUGUAUCAUCGUUAUCAUUUUAUUUUCAACAAUUUAAACCAUUUUAAACAAUUGAAUAACAACAAUAAAAAAUCUAAAAAAAUUGAACCAAA